CCACUAAAGAAUUAAUGUAAUUCCUAGAGUUGGAGGUAGAGGCUACCAAUUCAUAAAAAAUAGUGAGAGGAUCUUUAGACUAAAGUCCAUAUCUUCGGGAUUAAAAAAAUUAAUUCAUAUACCAAUAGGCUAAUAUUUUAUCCUUUCAGUUAUGGCCAAUACACCAUCCCUUCAUUCACUGUUGGAUAGUGACAAACUCAUCAGACCCAACUUCAAUAGCUGGUAUCGAAAGCUGA
rnacentral:lncRNA from 1 species